UACGGAGGGUGCAAGCGUUAAUCGGAAUUACUGGGCGUAAAGCGUGCGUAGGCGGUUCGUUAAGUCUGUUGUGAAAGCCCCGGGCUCAACCUGGGAAUGGCAAUGGAUACUGGCGAGCUAGAGUGUGUCAGAGGAUGGUGGGAAUUCCCGGGUGUAGCGGUGAAAUGCGUGAGAUCGGGAGGAACUCAUGGGCGAAGGCG
rnacentral:rRNA from 1 species